UCUAGAACUCGAGAUAUGGUUGAACACUGAACAAUGUCUAGGCUGCAGGACAGAUUCAGACUUCUCCGUUGUUGCUACAAUUUGAACUUGAAAAUGGCCUUUUUGAAUCUUGGACUCCCAUGAAAGUUUUAGGCAUAUAUCUUAGUUUUCUAUC
rfam:Populus trichocarpa scaffold_16_contig_79, whole genome shotgun sequence.